AUACGUAGGUGGCAAGCGUUGUCCGGAAUUAUUGGGCGUAAAGCGCGCGCAGGUGGUUCCUUAAGUCUGAUGUGAAAGCCCACGGCUCAACCGUGGAGGGUCAUUGGAAACUGGGGGACUUGAGUGCAGAAGAGGAAAGUGGAAUUCCAAGUGUAGCGGUGAAAUGCGUAGAGAUUUGGAGGAACACCAGUGGCGAAGGCGACUUACUGGUCCAUUACUGACGCUGAGGUGCGAAAGCGUGGGGAGC
rnacentral:rRNA from 1 species